CGGCGGACGGGUGAGUAACGCGUGGGUAACCUGCCUUACACAGGGGGAUAACAGUUAGAAAUGACUGCUAAUACCGCAUAACCCGCUAGGGCCGCAUGGCCCGGACGGAAAAGAUUUUAUCGGUGUAAGAUGGACCCGCGUCUGAUUAGCUGGUUGGUGAGGUGACGGCUCACCAAGGCGACGAUCAGUAGCCGACCUGAGAGGUUGAACGGCCACAUUGGGACUGAGACACGGCCCAGACUCCUACGGGAGGCAGCAG
rnacentral:rRNA from 1 species